rnacentral:antisense_RNA from 1 species
ACAAUGAACAUUCUGAAUAUAACUAACUUCCUUCCUUCCUUCCUUUCUUCCUUCCUUCCAUCCUUCCUCCCUCCCUCCCUCCCUGCUUUCCCUUCCUCCCUGCCUUCCUUCUUCCUUCCUCUCUUUUUUCUUUUCUCCCUUCCUUCCUUCUUAAUAUGUUUUUGGCCUUUUCUUUAUAUAUGUGGCCUAUCAAUAUCAUGUGUUUGGAAAAGCAUAAACUUAAGGCAUCACCUUUACAGAAAAUAUCUUCCAUGGAAACAUCUAAAGUGAGGAAGUAAAGUUGCAUUCAUAGGCCUUGAACUUUUCCACAUCUCGAUUUUUACCCAUCAUCUCUGCAUAUUUUCCUAAGGCAGCCUUCAAAUGGUGAUGUUUCCUGUCAUCCAGAGUUCAGAAGUGCCUUCUCUUCAACCUUUCUGUGGAAUUCUAAACCACGUGAUAAAGGAGCUGGUGAAAUAAUGUCUUGCUAUGUUGCCCAGGCUGGUCUCAAACUCUGGGGCUCAAAUGAUCCACCCAUCUUGGCCUCCCAAAGUGCUGGGUGUGAACCACUGCACCUGGCCAAAAAUAUUUUACUAAGAAAAAGGAGUCACCUAUUGUAUGAUUCCAUUUAUAUGAAAUAUCCAAAAUAGGCCACAGAUCAGCCCUGGGGUUCAGAGGGAUCCUGACGGCUACUCCUCAAGAUCCUCUCUGUUGUGAUUCAUCCCCCCCAGGCCCUACAGUUUCUCCUUCCUGACUCUUACAUUUCUUUGGAUGGCAUCACUAUUUACCUGUCUCCUCCCAUAGUUAGUUGCCAAGCACUGUGGAUUCUACCCCUCAGGGUCCAGACACCC